GCGUCCCAGGACGCAGCAGCAUACCUUGUUAUAUUAGGAGCAAUCACGCAGGAGUUGGAUUCACGUGUAAAGAGGUGUCGCCAAAGCUUUUGUUCACUGUGGGACUUUGCUGGUGAAAAAGACAAAUGAAUGCUUUUACUAACGACUUCGCUCUCCUCCUCUCCUCCUCGGAAACUGAACCAGGUGGUGGAGUUUUUCCUCUGAGAUGAAAUGAAGGAGAUGCUUUGGAAUCAAAGUGGCAUCAUAUAAUCCUCCAGGACACAUAUGACGCCAGGACACUGACAUGGCAGGAGAUCAUGACACGACGGUCCAACUAGCAAGCUAUCAGGGGAGGUUAAGUUUGCCAUCUUGUACCUUGAGUGAGCAUGUGCCAGAUCCACUUCACUUCAGAUGUCACAAGGUUUCGGUUUCAGACUUUGAUGCAAAGUCAGGAGGACAGGUCGGUUUCACGUGAGAAUACACGGAAACACUGAAACUGAUUUCGAGAGUAUUCAUGACUUCUGUG